GAUGGCUGAAGAUAAGCGGUGGAUUGUAGCUCCAUAUAUAAAGGUUUAAAUCCUUUUCUUAUUA
rnacentral:tRNA from 1 species